rnacentral:rRNA from 1 species
CCCUUAGAUGUUCUGGGCCGCACGCGCGCUACACUGACGGAGUCAACGAGUUGUCCUGCAUCGGAAGGUGUGGGUAAUCUUUUGAAACUUCGUCGUGCUGGGGAUAGAUCUUUGCAAUUUUCGAUCUUGAACGAGGAAUUCCUAGUAAGCGUGAUUCAUCAGAUCGCGUCGAUUACGUCCCUGCCCUUUGUACACACCGCCCGUCGCUACUACCGAUUGAAUGGUUUAGUGAGGCCUCGGGACUGGCGCGCUCGAGUAGCAAUACACCUGCGCGCCGGGAACUUGGUCAAACUUGAUCAUUUAGAGGAAGUAAAAGUCGUAACA